GCCACAUGCCUUCCUGGACCUGAAGACUCGUGCAUUGGUGACCUGAAGUGUAAAACAUUCAGGGGGGGAUAUCGAUGUCUGUGUGACCAAGAUGCUUUAUAUGAUGGCAACAUAUGUCAACAGGUUUUUUUUUCUGCCGUUCCCACCAAUAUGUCGAUGGCGUUUGACGAAGCCAAUAGGACCUGUUCAGCUACAUCUACUUACCUAGCAGAUGAUAACAACUUUGACGAAAUUUUCAAAGAUUGUGUUGGCAGCACGGUAUUAUUUCAGGCAGUGAUUCCACAACCAGAGUCUGUGGACAACCAUUGCGUCUCAAUGAGGAUGAUAAAUGGUACAGUUCAACGUAACGAGCCAACAGCCUGCUCUGCCAAAUUGCC